rnacentral:rRNA from 1 species
GAAUUCGCCCUUAGAGUUUGAUCCUGGCUCAGGACGAACUCUGGCGGCGUGCUUAACACAUGCAAGUCGAACGAGAAUCUAUGGAUCAAGGAUUCGUCCAAGUGAAAUAGAGGAAAGUGGCGGACGGGUGAGUAACGCGUGAGGAACCUGCCUUUCAGAGGGGGACAACAGUUGGAAACGACUGCUAAUACCGCAUAACGUAUAGAGGUCGCAUGAUUUCUAUACCAAAGAUUUAUCGCUGAAAGAUGGCCUCGCGUCUGAUUAGCUGGUUGGUGAGGUAACGGCCCACCAAGGCGACGAUCAGUAGCCGGACUGAGAGGUUGAACGGCCACAUUGGGACUGAGAUACGGCCCAGACUCCUACGGGAGGCAGCAGUGGGGAAUAUUGGGCAAUGGGCGAAAGCCUGACCCAGCAACGCCGCGUGAAGGAAGAAGGUCUUCGGAUUGUAAACUUCUUUUAUGAGGGACGAAGGACGUGACGGUACCUCAUGAAUAAGCCACGGCUAACUACGUGCCAGCAGCCGCGGUAAUACGUAGGUGGCGAGCGUUAUCCGGAUUUACUGGGUGUAAAGGGCGCGUAGGCGGUUCGGCAAGUCAGGUGUGAAAUCCAUGGGCUCAACCCAUGAACUGCACUUGAAACUGUCGGACUUGAGUGCUGGAGAGGUAGACGGAAUUCCUUGUGUAGCGGUGAAAUGCGUAGAUAUAAGGAAGAACACCAGUGGCGAAGGCGGUCUACUGGACAGUAACUGACGCUGAGGCGCGAAAGCGUGGGGAGCAAACAGGAUUAGAUACCCUGGUAGUCCACGCUGUAAACGAUGAAUA